UUGGAGGGCAAGUCUGGUGCCAGCAGCCGCGGUAAUUCCAGCUCCAAUAGCGUAUAUUAAAGUUGUUGCAGUUAAAAAGCUUGUAGUUGAAUUUCGGGAUCAAUAUAUUGGUCGUGCCUCCGGUAUGCACUGGUAUUAUUGAUUUCUACCUUCUGACGAACUGUGAUGUCAUUAAUUUGGUGUCAUGGGGAAUCAGGACUGUUACUUUGAAAAAAUUAGAGUGUUUAAAGCAGGCACACGCUUGAAUACAUUAGCAUGGAAUAAUGAAAUAGGACGUUUGACCCUAUUUUGUUGGUUUCUAGGAUCGACGUAAUGAUUAAUAGGGAUAGUUGGGGGCAUUAGUAUUCAAUUGUCAGAGGUGAAAUUCUUGGAUUUAUUGAAGACUAACUACUGCGAAAGCAUUUGCUAAGGAUGUUUUCAUUAAUCAAGAACGAAAGUUAGGGGAUCGAAGACGAUCAGAUACCGUCGUAGUCUUAACCAUAAACUAUGCCGACUAGGGAUCGGAUGAUGUUAAUUUUAUAAUGACUCAUUCGGCGCCUUACGGGAAAC
rnacentral:rRNA from 1 species